AUAGGCUUAUGUAUUUUUCGAGUUUUGAAAGAAAAGGAGGGGAAUAAUCACCUAGCAGUGGAGAAAAUGGAGUAUGGGACAGAAAAGUACUACAGCUUCUUUCAGAAAUUUUACGGCAGUUUCUUCCUUUGCAACUAAAUAUCAUAUGGGCAUGUUUAAAACUGAGUUCAAGACAAACAAAUAUAAGACGAUUUAUUUAUAAAAACCAUUGUAACUUUGAAUGCAACAGAAAGAAGAUAUACGAAAAUGGCGAGUUGCUUAUUAAUUCUGAAGAAUUGUUAUGCUCGGGUUUGCCAAAGUGAGACGCAUUAAGAAAAUUUGGAGACUUGUACAAAGGUAGAUGAGCUAAUUCCUGAAGAAAUGUGUUUAGAAAUAAUCGUUCAAGAGAUAUCUAAGAGUGCCUAGUCGUUUAAAAAGAAUAUUAUAUACACUAAGAGAGUUGAGACGCAAUCGGAAAAGAACUUUCAACUGAGAUAUCAAGCUGAAAAAAAAAAAAAAAAAAAAAAAAAAAAAAAAAAAAA